UACGGAGAGUGCAAGCGUUACUCGGAAUCACUGGGCGUAAAGGGCGCGUAGGAGGCCUAGCAAGUCUGGUGUGAAAGCCCAGGGCUCAACCCUGGAAGGGCACUGGAAACUGUUAGGCUUGAGUUCCGGAGAGGAGGGGGGAAUUCCCGGUGUAGCGGUGAAAUGCGUAGAUAUAGGGAGGAAUACCGGUGGCGAAGGAGGCCCUCGGGACGGAAACUGAAUCUGAGGCGCGAAAGCGUGGGGAGCAAACAGG
rnacentral:rRNA from 1 species